rnacentral:rRNA from 1 species
UACAGGGGGUGCAAACGUUGCUCGGAAUCAUUGGGCGUAAAGCGCACGUAGGCGGUUCGUUAUGUCGGAUGUGAAAGCCCUUGGCUUAACCGAGGAAGUGCAUCCGAAACUGGCGAGCUAGAGUACGAAAGAGGAUCGCGGAAUUCCCGGUGUAGAGGUGAAAUUCGUAGAUAUCGGGAGGAACACCGGUGGCGAAGGCGGCGAUCUGGGUCGAUACUGACGCUGAGGUACGAAAGC